CGGCGGACGGGUGAGUAAUGCCUAGGAAUCUGCCUGGUAGUGGGGGACAACGUUUCGAAAGGAACGCUAAUACCGCAUACGUCCUACGGGAGAAAGCAGGGGACCUUCGGGCCUUGCGCUAUCAGAUGAGCCUAGGUCGGAUUAGCUAGUUGGUGAGGUAAUGGCUCACCAAGGCGACGAUCCGUAACUGGUCUGAGAGGAUGAUCAGUCACACUGGAACUGAGACACGGUCCAAACUCCUACGGGAGGCAGCAGCA
rnacentral:rRNA from 1 species